rnacentral:rRNA from 1 species
AUUGAACGCUGGCGGCGGGCCUAACACAUGCAAGUCGAGCGGAUGAAGGGAGCUUGCUCCUGGAUUCAGCGGCGGACGGGUGAGUAAUGCCUAGGAAUCUGCCUGGUAGUGGGGGAUAACGUCCGGAAACGGGCGCUAAUACCGCAUACGUCCUGAUUGAGAAAGUGGGGGAUCUUCGGACCUCACGCUAUCAGAUGAGCCUAGGUCGGAUUAGCUAGUUGGUGGGGUAAAGGCCUACCAAGGCGACGAUCCGUAACUGGUCUGAGAGGAUGAUCAGUCACACUGGAACUGAGACACGGUCCAGACUCCUACGGGAGGCAGCAGUGGGGAAUAUUGGACAAUGGGCGAAAGCCUGACCCAGCCAUGCCGCGUGUGUGAAGAAGGUCUUCGGAUUGUAAAGCACUUUAAGUUGGGAGGAAGGGCAGUAAGUUAAUACCUUGCUGUUUUGACGUUACCAACAGAAUAAGCACCGGCUAACUUCGUG